rnacentral:rRNA from 1 species
AUGUCUGCAUAUGCUAGAAAGGUAUCCAAGGUUCUCAAAAAUGACCCCGUCAGGGAGAUCAUCGUCCGCAUCGGCUUCCCCUCCAUCCUUGUCCAUUGCACCCUUGUCUGCAAACAUUGGUACCACCACACCUCUAAACUAUCCUUCCUCCGCUGGUUCCGCGAGUGCCACCCGCCCUGCCUCCUUAGCUUCUUCCUUGAGGACAAGGAGGAUCAUAGCAUCGCUCCUUUCCGCUUCUUCCUGAUGCUACCCCAGCCCCAAAGCUUGCCGCUGCCGUCCACCACAUGGCGAGCUACAGCUUGGACUACUACAGGGGCGCACCGGCCAACUUCCUCUACUCCUGGAAAGGUAGAGUCCUCAUUAGCUUGUACAAUUAGCGUGACCGCAACAUGUCCAAACCCAGGACAGUUAUUCGCACAGGAUGAGUGA